UGGGGGGGUCCAGGGUGGGAGGAAGCUCUGGGGGAUGAGGGAGGGACGAGGGGAGGAGGAGGAACCAGGGAGGUGGCACCUGGAGGCAUCUCCCCCGGCUUCGGAGACCUUCAGAGAGCUCCAGGGAUGGGGAGGCCACCCCCCCUUCCCUCAGGUGCUCCUCAGAAGUUCUCCAGAACCUUCUCCUCCAGCUCCAUCUCCUUCUCCUCCAUCUCCAUCUCCUUCUCCUCCAUCUCCAUCUCCUUCUCCUCCAUCUCCAUCUCCUUCUCCUCCAUCUCCAUCUCCUUCUCCUCCAUCUCCAUCUCCUUCUCCUCCAUCUCCAUCUCCUUCUCCUCCAUCUCCAUCUCCUUCUCCUCCAUCUCCAUCUCCUUCUCCUCCAUCUCCAUCUCCUUCUCCUCCAUCUCCAUCUCCUUCUCCUCCAUCUCCAGCCCCUUCUCCUCGGUCUGAACCCCUCCUUGGUCUCCAGCCCCUUUCUCCUCCAUCUCCACCCCCCUCAGGAGGCUUUGGGGUCCUUCUCUGGACACGUUCCAGCCCCUCAACGUCCCUCCCAGAGUGACCGGCCCAAAAACUGGACCCACCACUGGAGGUGGGACCUCACCAGUACCGAGCACAAGGGGACUCUCAUUGCCCCACGUUGGCCACGCCGUUCCUGACACAAGGCCAAGAUGCUGGUGGCCACCUUGACCAACUGGGGGACACCGUUGGCUCCUGGUCACCCCCAGCUCCUUUUCCAGCCACUCCUCCCCCAGCCUGGUGUCACCCAAGGGGCAGGACCCAACAGUUGGCCAUGGUGAACCUCCCACCGUUGGCUUCAUCCCAUCCAGCCAACCUGGCCAGACCUUUCUGUAGGACCUUCCCAUCCUCCAGUAGAUCCUUCCCACCCUCCAGUAGAUCCUUCUCACCCUCCAGUAGAUCCUUCUCACCCUCCAGUAGGACCUUCCCACCCUCCAGUAGAACCUUCCAACCCUCCAGUAGAACCUUCCCACCCUCCAGUAGGACCUUCCCACCCUCCAGCAGAUCAACGCUCCCACCCAAAAGGCCAACCUAGAAGACCUUCUGAUUCCAUGGUGGUUCCUUGAAGGUCCUGAGGGAUCAUUCCCUCAACACCAAGCCCUGGGGACACCACCAGGGACACCAACCACCGGGGACACUGGUGACCAACUGGAGUCAUCUCCAUUCCCCACCAGUGACCAACUGGAGUCAUCUCCAUUCACCACCACCAGUGACCAACUGGAAUCACCUCCAUUCACCACCAGUGACCAACUGGAGUCAUCUCCAUUCCCCACCAGUGACCAACUGGAGUCAUCUCCAUUCACCACCACCAGUGACCAACUGGAAUCACCUCCAUUCCCCACCAGUGACCAACUGAAAUCACCUCCAUUCCCCACCAGUGACCAACUGGAGUCAUCUCCAUUCCCCACCAGUGACCAACUGGAGUCAUCUCCAUUCCCCACCACCACCUCUCUGGCCCAACCAUCCCACCAGAGUCCACCCAGGAGUUGGUUUCUCCAGGAGAACGUGGUGGAGGAACCAC
rnacentral:lncRNA from 1 species